AGAACGAACGCUGGCGGCAGGCUUAACACAUGCAAGUCGAGCGCCCCGCAAGGGGAGCGGCAGACGGGUGAGUAACGCGUGGGAACAUACCCUCCGGUUCGGAAUAGCUCAGGGAAACUUGGAUUAAUACCGGAUACGGCCUAGCGGCGAAAGAUUCAUCGCCGGAGGAUUGGCCCGCGUCUGAUUAGCUAGUUGGUGGGGUAAUGGCCCACCAAGGCGACGAUCAGUAGCUGGUCUGAGAGGAUGAUCAGCCACAUUGGGACUGAGACACGGCCCAAACUCCUACGGGAGGCAGCAGUGGGGAAUAUUGGACAAUGGGCGCAAGCCUGAUCCAGCCAUGCCGCGUGAGUGAUGACGGCCUUAGGGUUGUAAAGCUCUUUCGCUAGGGACGAUAAUGACGGUACCUAGACAAGAAGCCCCGGCUAACUUCGCGCCAGCAGCCGC
rnacentral:rRNA from 1 species